CAGUAGCCGCGGUAAUGCGGAGGGGGCUAGCGUUGUUCGGAAUUACCGGGCGUAAAGCGCACGUAGGCGGCUUGGUAAGUUAGAGGUGAAAGCCUGGAGCUCAACUCCAGAAUUGCCUUUAAGACUGCCGAGCUAGCAGGUGAGAGAGGUAAGUGGAAUUCCGAGUGUAGCGGUGAAAUGCGUAGAGAUCGGGAGGAACAUCAGUGGCGAAGGCGGCCAUCUGGGACAACACUGACGCUGAGGCACGAAAGCGUGGGGAGCAAUCAGGAUUAGAUACCCCAGUAGUCCCUGUCUCUUAUAC
rnacentral:rRNA from 1 species